rnacentral:rRNA from 1 species
CAGAGGGUGCGAGCGUUGUUCGGAAUUACUGGGCGUAAAGCGCGCGCAGGCGGUCCUUUAAGUCUACCCGUGAAAUGCCGGAGCUCAACUCCGCGCACGCCGGGGGAUACUGGGGGACUGGAGACAUGUAGAGGCAAGCGGAAUUCCGGGUGUAGCGGUGGAAUGCGUAGAUAUCCGGAAGAACACCUGAGGCGAAGGCGGCUUGCUGGGCAUGAUCUGACGCUGAGGCGCGAAAGCGUGGGGAGCAAACAGGAUUAGAUACCCUGGUAGUCCACGCCGUAAACGAUGGGCACUAGACGCGGGUGGGAUCGACCCCUUCCGUGUCGCAGCUAACGCGAUAAGUGCCCCGCCUGGGGAGUACGGCCGCAAGGCUG